rnacentral:rRNA from 1 species
AGUGAACGCUGGCGGCGUGCUUAACACAUGCAAGUCGAACGAGAACGGAAUAUAGCUUGCUAUAUUUGUCAGCUAAGUGGCGCACGGGUGAGUAAUGUAUAGAUAACCUGCCCUUAAGAAAGGAAUAACAGUUGGAAACGACUGCUAAUGCCCUAUAUGCCUUUAAUACAUAAGUAUGCAAGGGAAACGCUUUAGUGCUUAAGGAUGGGUCUGUAUGGUAUCAGCUUGUUGGUGAGGUAAUGGCUCACCAAGGCUAUGACGCCUAACUGGUUUGAGAGGAUGAUCAGUCAAACUGGAACUGAGACACGGUCCAGACUCCUACGGGAGGCAGCAGUGGGGAAUAUUGCACAAUGGACGAAAGUCUGAUGCAGCAACGCCGCGUGGAGGAUGACACAUUUCGGUGCGUAAACUCCUUUUAUAUAGGAAGAUAAUGACGGUACUAUAUGAAUAAGCACCGGCUAACUCCGUGCCAGCCGCCGCGGUAA